rnacentral:rRNA from 1 species
AUUGAACGCUGGCGGCAUGCCUUACACAUGCAAGUCGAACGGUAACAGGUCUUCGGAUGCUGACGAGUGGCGAACGGGUGAGUAAUACAUCGGAACGUGCCUAGUAGUGGGGGAUAACUACUCGAAAGAGUGGCUAAUACCGCAUGAGAUCUACGGAUGAAAGCAGGGGAUCGCAAGACCUUGUGCUACUAGAGCGGCCGAUGGCAGAUUAGGUAGUUGGUGGGAUAAAAGCUUACCAAGCCGACGAUCUGUAGCUGGUCUGAGAGGACGAUCAGCCACACUGGGACUGAGACACGGCCCAGGCUCCGACGGGAGGAAGCAGUGGGGAAUUGUGGACAAGGGGCGAAAGCCGGAUCCAGCAAUGCCGCGUGCAGGAUGAAGGCCUUCGGGUUGUAAACUGCCUUUGUACGGAACGAAAAGCCCCGGGUUAAUACCCUGGGGUCAUGACGGUACCGUAAGAAUAAGCACCGGCUAACUACGUGCCAGCCGCCGCUGUAA